rnacentral:lncRNA from 1 species
ACAUGAGUUGAAAAAUUACAAAGAAAAGUUUGAUCGCAACACACUUACGAUUGGCUUAUAGGGCACUUUUCUUUCAAUCUCCCACUUACACUAAAGUCAAUCACCUUUGUAUCUCAAUCCUAUACAAUCAAGAUGACGAUCAAAUAGCUACUGUGGUAUGGCCUUAGUAAAUGGGUCUACUAUAUUAUUCUUUGUAUCUACUCAUUCAAGGACAACAUCUUGUCUUUCUAUUUUUUUUCAAAUG